GUCCCUGGAGCGCAAUGGGUAGCGCGUUGGACUUCUAAUCAAAAGAUUGAGGGCUCAAAUUCCGCCUGGGAUG